rnacentral:rRNA from 1 species
AACGAACGCUGGCGGCAUGCCUAACACAUGCAAGUCGAACGAGACCUUCGGGUCUAGUGGCGCACGGGUGCGUAACGCGUGGGAACCUGCCCUUAGGUUCGGAAUAACUCCCCGAAAGGGGUGCUAAUACCGGAUAAUGUCUUCGGACCAAAGAUUUAUCGCCUUUGGAUGGGCCCGCGUUGGAUUAGCUAGUUGGUAGGGUAAAAGCCUACCAAGGCGACGAUCCAUAGCUGGUCUGAGAGGAUGAUCAGCCACACUGGGACUGAGACACGGCCCAGACUCCUACGGGAGGCAGCAGUGGGGAAUAUUGGACAACGGGCGAAAGCCUGAUCCAGCAAUGCCGCGUGAGUGAUGAAGGCCGUAGGGUUGUAAAGCUCUUUUACCCGGGAUGAUAAUGACAGUACCGGGAGAAUAAGCUCCGGCUAACUCCGUG